rnacentral:rRNA from 1 species
AAUAGCCUAACGGCUGAACCAGCAACUUGGAAGAACGAAAGGCUUAUUGCCGAUGUAAUUUUUAAUAAUUGCAAUAGUAACUCCGUUACAUAAAGUUCUAGGCAAGUAUUUGAUAAUGACAUAACUUGUCUAUAAGUCUUGACUAAGUCACGUGCCAGCAGUCGCGGUAAUACGUGGAAGACAAGCGUUAUUCAUCUUUAAUAGGUUUAAAGGGUACCUAGACAGUUAAUAAAGCCCAACAGGGGACUAAUUACACUAGAGUUUUAUAUGAGAAGGGGAGAACGGUGUGUGGAAAGAUGAAAUUUAUUGAUACCACUUAGAGACUGUCAACAGCGAAGGCAACCUUUUAUGUCAAAACUGACGUUGAGGGACGAAGGCCCACUAUAGAGAACAGGAUUAGAGACCCUAGUAUUCAGGGCAGAAAAUGAUGAGUGUCAUAUAUAAGUAUUGUAAUACUGCUAAUGUAUUAAAAAAAGUAGUAUUUUAUGUAUUUAUAUAUAAACGAAAGUGUAAGCACUCCACCUCACGAGUAACAUGGCAACAUAGGAACUGAAAUCAUUAGACCGUUUCUGAAACCAGUAGUGAAGUAUGUUGUUUAAUUUGAUAAUCCACAAAGAACCUUACCACCAAUAUUAUAUGUAUAUAUUUC